rnacentral:lncRNA from 1 species
GAAUCCAGAUGCCAGGUGAGAACCCACAGCAACCACAGCUUGGUGGAGUGAGCCACAGCGGCUCAUGUGGCGGCACUGCGGGAGCUCAGCUGGGUGUGUUUGGUGUCUCCUGCAGCUAUUGACCUGUUGUAUUGGCGGGACAUCAAGCAGACGGGCAUCGUGUUUGGGAGUUUCCUGCUGCUGCUCUUCUCCCUGACCCAGUUCAGCGUGGUGAGCGUCGUGGCCUACCUGGCCCUGGCCGCACUCUCAGCCACCAUCAGUUUCCGCAUCUACAAGUCUGUUUUACAAGCAGUGCAGAAAACCGACGAAGGCCACCCUUUCAAGGCCUACUUGGAGCUUGAGAUCACCCUUUCUCAGGAGCAGAUUCAGAAGUACACGGACUGCCUGCAGUUCUACGUGAACAGCACACUUAAGGAACUGAGGAGGCUCUUCCUUGUCCAGGACCUGGUGGAUUCCUUAAAAUUUGCAGUCCUGAUGUGGCUCCUGACCUACGUUGGCGCUCUCUUCAAUGGCCUGACCCUGCUGCUCAUGGCUGUGGUUUCAAUGUUUACUCUACCUGUAGUGUAUGUUAAGCACCAGGCACAGAUUGACCAAUAUCUGGGACUUGUGAGGACUCACAUAAAUGCUGUUGUGGCAAAGAUUCAGGCUAAAAUCCCAGGCGCUAAGAGGCAUGCUGAGUAAACUGAUUUCCCACCGGGGACUGGACACAAACAGGAAUGUCUGGAGUGGUAACAGCUCUCUUCUUACUCAUUACUGCAAAUUGAUUGUCUUUCCCCCCUCCCUCCAGUACCAUAAUCUUAGAGACAAACCUUAAAACAGCUGUUUUUAGGCUGUUCCUUGUACUCUUAGGAUAUUUGAGUCACUUGUGUCAACCACUAAAGUAUAGAGAAAAGUGUAUUAGAUGUGGUUUUUAAUUUUGUGUUGCUAAAAAAAGUGCAUGAUGGUGAGAGCCCAAGUUAUCUUUCCCUCUUCGGUGUUCUUCUUCUCUUCUCUGCAAUGCUUCUGUAGCUUCUAAUGUUCCCCGUGGCUAGGCCUUUCCUGCCGAGUGCUCUGAUGCAAUAGUGGAAAUCGCUUAUAUGUCCUUGGGUUGCUGGUUGGAUUAAUCUUUAAUAACAAUAUAUAGAAUUGUAGACUGAUGUUUUAGCAUUUUUCCAACACACACAACGUAAAAAUAAAAGCAGUCGACCGCACUUAUGGUAAUCAGUUUUGUAUAACUUAAAAUAAUUAAAUAAAUGAAUAAAUCCAAAACAAACAUGCAGUACUUUUGUUGUAUGGGAUUGGUGGGCUGAUUUACAUGUAUGGUUACUAAAAAGUACCAGCAUGUUAACUUUAUUACAAUUUGUAUUACUUUCUCUGUAGUUCCUAAUGGAUUCAAUUACGGACUCUGGAUAUUUGCACUUAUGUACUUGAUA